UCUGACCACAGGCCCAUCCCAGGGAUUUGGGGUCAGAGCGCUUAAUAAAUCAUCCUGCCCAGCACAUGCAAGCCUGGAGCCCUCCUCCUGGCUUUCUGAGAUCUGACCUCUGCCGACCUCUCCCACCCACCUCCCUCUUGCCAGGCCAGAGACCGGUGAAUUUCUCGAACACGCAAUUCUCUUCCUGCCUCUCCAGGACUGUGCACAGGCUGUUCCCUCCACCUGGAAUGUUCUCUCCCUUUCUCCAGGCUUCACCAAGAUAAUGCUUCCGGCUGGUUCAAAUUUUGGCUCAAAGAUCACCUCCUUCUCUGUUCUUCCAGCAAAGGCAGACGAGAAGGCUGGCGCUGUGGCCUCCACCUUGGAUCAUGAGGAGGGUCACACCCUAAGGAUGGCAGAGUUGUGACCAGGAAGGAGCCUGGGACACUGAGAGCUUUGUGGAGUCUUCAAACCAGCCCUGAACUGCCUACAUCUGGACUUCAUUCACACGAGAGAAAAAUAAACUCUUUUGUGUAUUGUU